rnacentral:rRNA from 1 species
AGUGAACGCUGGCGGCAGGCCUAACACAUGCAAGUCGAACGGCAGCACAGGGGAGCUUGCUCCCUGGGUGGCGAGUGGCGGACGGGUGAGGAAUGCAUCGGAAUCUGCCUUCUUGUGGGGGAUAACCUGGGGAAACCCAGGCUAAUACCGCAUGCGCCCUACGGGGGAAAGCCGGGGACCUUCGGGCCUGGCGCGGGAAGAUGAGCCGAUGCCGGAUUAGCUAGUUGGCGGGGUAAAGGCCCACCAAGGCGACGAUCCGUAGCUGGUCUGAGAGGAUGAUCAGCCACACUGGGACUGAGACACGGCCCAGACUCCUACGGGAGGCAGCAGUGGGGAAUAUUGGACAAUGGGCGCAAGCCUGAUCCAGCCAUGCCGCGUGAGUGAAGAAGGCCUUCGGGUUGUAAAGCUCUUUUGUACGGGAAGAUACACGGCCGGCGAAUACCCGGCUGGACUGACGGUACCGUAAGAAUAAGCACCGGCUAACUUCGUGCCAGCAGCCGCGGUAAUACGAAGGGUGCAAGCGUUACUCGGAAUUACUGGGCGUAAAGCGUGCGCAGGUGGUGCGUUAAGUCCGAUGUGAAAGCCCUGGGCUCAACCUGGGAAUGGCAUUGGAUACUGGCGUGCUCGAGUACGGUAGAGGGUGGCGGAAUUCCCGGUGUAGCAGUGAAAUGCGUAGAGAUCGGGAGGAACAUCCGUGGCGAAGGCGGCCACCUGGACCAGUACUGACACUGAGGCACGAAAGCGUGGGGAGCAAACAGG